rnacentral:lncRNA from 1 species
GGUACCAGUAAUGCGUUUCAGUUCCUCGAAAAAAAUUUAAGAAAAAUUAGGGACAGCCUGUAGGCGCACUGUAGGGCCGUAUUCAGACCCCGAAACAAGUAAGGACCCCUCACCCUAUUUCCUAUCACGGUAUUAAAGCUAAAUAAAUAAUUAAACUGUACUGUGUGACUUUAUAGAUGUAUAAUUGAUUAAGGUUGCCAAUGGAGCCCGAGUCUGAUACUGUAUUGGUCUGUUAUUGUUUGUUUUAAUUUCCAGUAUUAAAUGCAGCAUGAUAUUUGAUGUAAUUAUAUUAUGGCCUCGUAUGCAUGAAUCAUAGU